UACAGAGGGGGCAAGCGUUAUUCGGAAUUAUUGGGGGUAAAGGGCGCGUAGGCGGCCUGGAAAGGGGAAGGGGAAAUCCCUCGGCUUAACCGAGGAACUGCCCUCCAAACUGCUUGGCUUGAGUCCGGGAGAGGUGAGUGGAAUUCCCAGUGUAGCGGUGAAAUGCGUAGAUAUUGGGAGGAACACCAGUGGCGAAGGCGGCUCACUGGACCGGAACUGACGCUGAGGCGCGAAAGCGUGGGGAGCAAACGGG
rnacentral:rRNA from 1 species